UACGGAGGGUGCAAGCGUUAUCCGGAUUCACUGGGUUUAAAGGGUGCGUAGGCGGGUAAGUAAGUCCGUGGUGAAAUCUCUGAGCUUAACUCAGAAACUGCCGUGGAUACUAUUUGCCUUGAAUAUUGUGGAGGUGAGCGGAAUAUGUCAUGUAGCGGUGAAAUGCUUAGAUAUGACAUAGAACACCAAUUGCGAAGGCAGCUCACUAAGCAAAUAUUGACGCUGAGGCACGAAAGCGUGGGGAUCAAACAGG
rnacentral:rRNA from 1 species